rnacentral:rRNA from 1 species
AAUCUUCCGCAAUGGACGAAAGUCUGACGGAGCAACGCCGCGUGAGUGAAGAAGGUCUUCGGAUCGUAAAACUCUGUUGUUAGGGAAGAACAAGUAUCGGAGGAAAUGCCGGUACCUUGACGGUACCUAUCGAGAAAGCCACGGCUAACUACGUGCCAGCAGCCGCGGUAAUACGUAGGUGGCAAGCGUUGUCCGGAAUUAUUGGGCGUAAAGCGCGCGCAGGCGGUUCUUUAAGUCUGAUGUGAAAUCUUGCGGCUCAACCGCAAGCGGUCAUUGGAAACUGGGGAACUUGAGUGCAGAAGAGGAAAGCGGAAUUCCACGUGUAGCGGUGAAAUGCGUAGAGAUGUGGAGGAACACCAGUGGCGAAGGCGGCUUUCUGGUCUGUAACUGACGCUGAGGCGCGAAAGCGUGGGGAGCAAACA